rnacentral:rRNA from 1 species
AUGCGCGUCGGCACUGCCAUUGUCGUGCACGCGCCUGUUGCCAACACUCCCUUUGCGAUCCUGCUGGUGGUACCUGUACGGCACGAUCUCCGAGGACCUAUCGCCGUCGCCGUCGUCAACGUGCCGGCUGUCCAGCUCCAGAGCUCUGGACUGCUCCCACACCUUGCUGGCCUGCCAGGCCGCGAACUCCUUCUUGAACUUCUGCAGCUCCUCCUCCUGCGGGUGCUCCCGCGGCACCAGCUUGCUCCACCCAUCACCACCACCACCAUUACUCCUCUUGGUCAGCUGAGCAAGAAUCUCCCUCUCGUCAUCCCCGGCGUCGUCGAAGGUGUAAACUUCCUGUUUCGCCAUAUGCCGGGCAGGAUUCUUCUGCUGCGCGAAGGAGACAUGCUUGGUGGGCACCGGCCUCGCGACGAUCAUCCCCUGCCUGGCAUCAUCCAGGUGGGUGGUGAGCUCGGAGUUCAUCGGCGGCGAGUCCAUGCCCAUCAACCUGGCAAUGACGCUGGGCACUCUCUUGUGCCCUUCGUUGGGCCGGAAGGACGCGUCCUCAUGGAUCAGCUUCUUGAUCGGGGCCGAGGAGGAUCUUGGGUACUGCCUCAUGCUGUUGCAGGAGUACUGCAGAGAGUUGUACAUGAAACUUGGUCAGGACUUGGAACAAUGCCAACAGCUCGACAUAUGGCCUCCUACUUAUUGAUGGACAAGAGAUGGCAAGCAAUGAUGCAGAGAAUGGCCAGGCAACAACAGUCAGGUACAAGUACACCUAGCAGCAGAGCUGCCAAGGACGGACGGACAAUACAUAUCAUCUGUCAAGGAAGAUCUACCCACCUAACUGGAAAUUGGACAGUAGUAUGUGCCUGGAAUGAGAAAAAGGCUUUCCAGGUCCUUUUUCUGGAAACAAAAUAA